AAGAGAAGAGAUGUGGGAAUGAAAGUCAGUAGGAACAAGAUUGAGUACAUGUGUUUGAAUGAGAGAGAGCCCGGUGGGAUAGUGCAUUUACAAGGAGUAGAGGUGAUGAAUGUAGACGAGUUUAAAUACUUGGUGUCAACUGUCCAAAGUAAUGGAGAGUGUGGUAGAGAGGUGAAGAAGAGAGUGCAUGCAGGGUGG